GUUGAAUUAGUCUAUAUGCCCAUAAUUUCAUUUGAAAUUCUCCAAAGCUUUUUUCUGUCAUAUUUUAUAUCAUUUAUCUUAGUUUCAUAAUACAGCGUUUCUUCUUCUUUUUGUUCAGUUUAGCCACAUAAUUUCUCGGUUUGCCAAUCAGAUGUGCAGACAGAUUUAUUAGCCACUCCUUUUGCGUCAUCUCUCUCAACCACACAGUUUUUCAGUUCCUCAUCAAUCCACGGCACCUUGGCAGAUCUAACAGUUCGUUUCUUAAUAGGGUUAUGUCUAUCAAUAACUGGAAGGAGAAAUUUCAUAAAUAUUUGUAGAUCUUUAGUUGUUGUGGAGCUUUUGUCCCGAACUCAUUACGGUGUUUUAGGUGCCAAGCUUAUUAUCAUGUCGCAGCUGUGUGUAGGAGGGAAAUUCCUAGAUGUGAGAAGUGUGCAUUAGGGCAUGAGACAAAGAAAUGUGUAGUGUUGGUGGAAAUAAAUGUUGUGUGUUAACUGUAGGGCACCUUAGUGGCACCUAGUGGCACCUGUAGUGGCACCUUCAUUGGGGAGAACAGGCUCGUGGUAAUGGCUGGAGCAGAAUCAGUGGAAUGGUAUCAAAUACAUGGAAACCAUGUGUUUGAUGCCAUUCCAUUUGCUCCGUUCAAAACAUUAUUAUGAGCCGUCCUCACCUCAGCAGUGUCCACUGUUGUAGGCACUGUUGUAGGGGUACCCAUGGUGCUGGAGUUCAGAAGUGUUGGUUAUGAACUAUACCGCAGAAAUGAAACGUGAAUCACAGAAAAUAGAUGUGGUGGCAGCUGCAUAGAAGGACUUGGGUCUAUGGGAUUUUACUGCAUUAGAGUUACAAGGUGUGUUCAACAAUAGUGUUCCGUUCUCCCAGUCUUCCAGCUUGGAGUAGAAUCAGAUAGGACCAAGUAGUGGAAUAGUGGUGAGGUUUUAAUGGGUGUAGGGUUAGUUGGUAUAGUGGUGAAGUUUUAAUGGGUGUAGGGUUAGUUGGUAUAGUGGUGAGGUUUUAAUGGGUGUAGGGUUAGUUGGUAUAGUGGUGAAGUUUUAAUGGGUGUAGGGUUAGUUGGUAUAGUGGUGAGGUUUUAAUGGGUGUAGAGUUAGUUGGUAUAGUGGUGAAGUUUUAAUGGGUGUAGGGUUAGUUGGUAUAGUGGUGAGGUUUUAAUGGGUGUAGGGUUAGUUGGUAUAGUGGUGAAGUUUUAAUGGGUGUAGGGUUAGUUGGUAUAGUGGUGAGGUUUUAAUGGGUGUAGGGUUAGUUGGUAUAGUGGUGAAGUUUUAAUGGGUGUAGGGUUAGUCAGUAGGGACAUUUGUCUUCCCUUUUCCCUUUUUGUGUCACAAAGUGCAAUGAAUUCACACUCCAGAACAGUAGGUGGCGGUGUACGCAUCCCUUCAGUUGGUUGCGAUCCAACAAUACAUAUUUG
rnacentral:lncRNA from 1 species